AACCUCAGUCAGCUUUAAACUCUCUGAAACAUGAUUCAACAUGUAAGAAAACAUUCAGCUGCUCUGAGUGUGGGAAAAGAUUUAGCCAAAAUGGAAACCUGAAGAAACACAUGAGAACUCACACAGGAGAAAAACCUUUCAGCUGCUCUGAGUGUGGUAAAGCUUUCUCUGAUAGUGGAGCCCUGAAGACACACAUAAGAACUCACACAGGAGAAAGACCUUUUAGCUGCUCAGUUUGUAAUAAAUCUUUUACACAGAGAGGAAGUUUACGGUCACACAUGGCAGUCCACACAGGAGAGAAAAGAUUCAGCUGCAGUGUUUGUAACAAAAGAUUUUCCUGGUGUUCUGAUGUCAAAAGACAUAAAUGUGUUGGUCAGAUGGAAACAGAAGCUGAUGGAGAGGACUGUGGAGGACCAGAACCAGACAGGAACUCACAUCCACUUUUACAACCAGAGACUGAAGACCAGACUGGAGACUCUUCUGAUCCUGAGACUGGUGACAUGGAAUAAUGUUUGUGCAUUGUCGAAGCAAAACAAAAAGUAUCAAACAAAAAUCUUCAUGUAUUAACAUCUAGAUAGAAUACAUUAUAUUGUGUGGUAAGAAAAAGUACACUCUUAUUUUAAAUAUUUCAUUAUAGAUUGUUUUGUCUUGUAAUCUAAUAAAGUAAAGAAAUAUACUGGUUUGAUAUGACCGGUGUGGUCACCAGGACAUGCUGAGUACCCUCCAGAUGAAAUAAAGUGAAGUCAUUUGAAGUAAACCAUCUGUUGACUAGCAUGUAUGUUAGUAGUUAUUGUCUGGGUCACAACGACCUAGGUGUACUUAAGAAAAGGAAGAUGAGAGGACUGUUAGAAGUAAAAAUAUCACCAGUUCAGGUCCAUCUAAAGAUGUAACUAACAUGAGGUAACUGUAGGCGUGAAUGUGUCCAACUGACACCGC